CAGUCGCCGCGGGAAUACAGAGGGUGCGAGCGUUAAUCGGAUUUACUGGGCGUAAAGCGUGCGUAGGCGGCUUUUUAAGUCGGAUGUGAAAUCCCUGAGCUUAACUUAGGAAUUGCAUUCGAUACUGGGAAGCUAGAGUAUUGGAGAGGAUGGUAGAAUUCCAGGUGUAGCGGUGAAAUGCGUAGAGAUCUGGAGGAAUACCGAUGGCGAAGGCAGCCAUCUGGCCUAAUACUGACGCUGAGGUACGAAAGCAUGGGGAGCAAACAGGAUUAGAUACCCCAGUAGUCCCUGUCUCUUAUAC
rnacentral:rRNA from 1 species